rnacentral:lncRNA from 1 species
GGGGGGAGAAGGCAGCGGGGAGCGGGGGGAGGACGGCGCCGGGAGGGCUGGGCUGGGGGUGUCCUCCCUUCAGCCUGGGGGUGUCCUCUCCCCUCGGUCUGGGGGUGCCGCCUCUGCAGGUGCCUCGCCACGGCCCCCCCCGGAGGCGGAGGGGGGUAGGUGGGUGUGCGGGGGGGGGAUUUUGGCCGCCGGGCAAAGGGCUGAGUGUGGUAAGGGGGCAGAGAGAGCCCAAACGUGGGGCGGUGGAGAGCGGCCGUCGGGACGCGCCAAGGGAGAAGAUCCACGAGAGGGCAGUACACAGCAAGGGUAAAGGCAGACGCAGCUUACUGCAGGGAGCCUCGGGCAG